UCAGGUCUUAUAGGUCCAAGAGCUGAUCCCAAGGAUGACAGCUUCCAAGAUGUCUCAGAGAGAACCCCAACCGCUGUUCUUGGGUUCAGUGGGAGAGAAGUCUGUCUUCUGAGGAGCUUUACAGAACUGAAAUUUGCAAAAAUAAACCAGGAUCACCUGUACUUAAUUCAAGAAUGAGGUCCAGUGACCUUAGCUGAAACAUCAGAAAACCUUCAGAGCUAUUGGAGAAAGUUCAUCAGCUGCGCAGGACCAUCACAUUUUCGUUUGAACAUCUUUGAAUUAGGCUAAAACUCCAGUGACAGAAGACAAAAAGCUUGUCCUAGAAGAGCAUAUAUUGAAAGAUUGCACUGCCACCAGCAUAUUGCUUUUAGAAGUUUGGGCACG